AUUUCAUAUAUACAUGAACUAAAAACAUAUGUAGAACAAAUUUCAGAUCUAUGCAUACCUUCGUAUAUCGAAUAUAUGAUCUAAAAAUUAAAUUCAAAAUAAAUUUCAAAUUUAAAGAAAUUAUCUAUAUAUCUUAUAUAUCAAGAAAAAUUAGAUUUUAAAACUUUUUUCAAAACUAUGUAUAUCAAUUUCAUGCAUAUGAAAUCCAUGGCUUUGAUACCGCUAUUGAAAUUUCAUGUCAGGGUAUGCAUGUAUGUUUCAAUUUUUUUUUAAAUAAUGUAGUG
rnacentral:lncRNA from 1 species